rnacentral:piRNA from 1 species
UGCCUUGCAUUGGGGUAGAUGUCAGGGA